ACAAACUUGGUCAUUUAGAGGAAGUAAAAGUCGUAACAAGGUUUCCGUAGGUGAACCUGCGGAAGGAUCAUUACAGAAUAAUUUUGUUGGGUUGUUGCUGGCCUUUAGGGGCAUUGUGCACGCCUUUCAACAACUUUAUCUCAACCACCUGUGCACCUUCUGUAGUCUUGGAAAUACCUCUCGAGGGUUUGAAACCCCCCCCGGAUUUGAGGAUUGCUGGUGCGUCAAGCUCAGCUUUCCUUUCACAUUUCCAAGACUAUGUUUCUUAAUCUACACACUUUGUAUAACCUUUUGAAUGUCAUUUCCAUGGGCUUUCAUGCCUAUAGAAUUAAAUACAACUUUCAACAACGGAUCUCUUGGCUCUCGCAUCGAUGAAGAACGCAGC
rnacentral:misc_RNA from 1 species